CCUACGGGAGGCAGCAGUGAGGAAUAUUGGUCAAUGGGCGGGAGCCUGAACCAGCCAAGUAGCGUGCAGGAAGACGGCACUACGUGUUGUAAACUGCUUUUGUCCGGGAAUAAAGCCGAAUACGUGUACCCGGCUGAAUGUACCGUACGAAUAAGCAUCGGCUAACUCCGUGCCAGCAGCCGCGGUAAUACGGAGGAUGCGGGCGUUAUCCGGAUUUAUUGGGUUUAAAGGGUGCGCAGGCGGCCUGUUAAGUCAGCGGUAAAAGUUCGGGGCUCAACCCCGGCCAGCCGUUGAAACUGGCGGGCUGGAGUUGGAGAGAAGUACGCGGAAUGCGCGGUGUAGCGGUGAAAUGCUUAGAUAUGGCGCAGAACCCCGAUUGCGAAGGCAGCGUGCCGGCGCCAUACUGACGCUGAGGCACGAAAGCGCGGGUAUCGAACAGGAUUAGAUACCCGGGUAGUC
rnacentral:rRNA from 1 species